UACGUAGGCAGCGAGCGUUGUUCGGAGUUACUGGGCGUAAAGGGCGCGUAGGCGGCCUUCUAAGUCGAACGUGAAAUCCCCGGGCUCAACCCGGGAACUGCGUCCGAUACUGGGAGGCUUGAAUCCGGGAGAGGGAUGUGGAAUUCCAGGUGUAGCGGUGAAAUGCGUAGAUAUCUGGAGGAACACCGGUGGCGAAGGCGGCAUCCUGGACCGGUAUUGACGCUGAGGCGCGAAAGCUAGGGGAGCAAACGGG
rnacentral:rRNA from 1 species